AGGGGCCUCGGACCAAAAAGAAGAGGGGGCCAAUCUAGACUGGCAGAGGGGGACAACGUUCCUUUAGGGAACGCUAAUACCGCACACGUCCUACCGCAGAACCCAAGGGACCUUCGGGCCGUGCGCUAGAAAUGAACCUACGCCGAAUGAACUAGCUGGUGGGUGAGGGGCUCACCCAGCGGAGGAACCAUACCUGGCCUGACAGGAAGAUCGAUCACCCUGGAACUGAGACACGGUCCAGACUCAUUCCGUUGGCAGGCAUGGUUAAUAAAGAAUAAAGGACGAAAGCCUGACCCAUGCAUGCCUCCUGCGUGAAUAAGGACUUCCGAUUGUAAAGCAAUUAACGUUGGGAAGAAGGGAAGUAAGAGAAUACCUUGCUGUCUGACCUUACUUUUAUAAUAAACACUGGUUAACUCUGCCCUGCAGCCGCGCUAAUACAGAGGGAGGGUGCGUUAAUCAGAAGUAAUGCGCGGAAAUCGCGCGUACGCAGGUUUGUUGUUUGAAUGAUAAAGACCCGGGCUCCUCUGGUGAGGCAUUCAUUACUAGCGCCUAGACAAGGAACG
rnacentral:rRNA from 1 species